AUUAAAAAGUAAGAUAAAUUAUAUGAGAUCUUUAAUUUGUAUAUAAGAUAAUUUUAUUUUGUUCUAAUAUCUGUGUGAUGUUAGUUUAAAAUAUUAUUUUUUAAUAUAUUGAUUUUAUAUAUUAGGUAGGUGCCCAUUCUGUUCCUAGCUUCAGAAGUUAUUUAUACCUAUGCAAUACCUUCGCUCAGAUUAAAGAAUGGAAUACUAGUCUUGCAUCAAAUAUAUAUUACAUAUCCAUUCGAUGUUUAUCACCAGAAAUUAGUUCUACCUUUGCAGUACCUCUGCUUUACAUACCUCCUCGCUGGUUAAAGAAUGGAAUAUAAAUCUCAUAUCAACAUGAGUAUGAAUCUGAUAUCAAUUGUAUGUACAAAGAUAGUUUACUUCUUAAAGAACCUAUCAGUAAACCAACUGAUUAUAAAACAGUUUUUAAUGGGAAUGAAAACAAAUUUUCAAAAGAUUUCAAUUAGCUAUUUGUAUAUUCAAACACUUUAUUUACUGAGAGAAGACACUAUAGAUUCAAGUGCUAUAAAAUAAUUUUACUACCAAAAGCGAGGUUAAUUCAAAAACUGAAACUCAACUUUGGUCAUGAAUUAUUUUAUUAGACUUGGUGAGUCUUUAUUUAUUAACAACUUAACACCAUAUUAUUAGAACUGUAUGCACAGAAAAAAAUAAAUGCUUUAGCUUUAAAUGUUUUGU